UCCUUUAUUUUGAUAUUUUUCAUUUCAAUUUCGAAUACAAAUAACGGCUCUUUUCAUUUCAACACAAAUACAGUAGUUUGUUCUCUUCUUUCUUCACUAUCAUACUCUUCCAUAGUAGCAAUGAAGAUGGGUUCAAUUUUACUUCUUCUUCAAUCAAACAAAACCACUUUUUUGUGGGUGUUGCAGCAAGAAAAUGGCGAAAUGAUGGUGGUGAGGAUAAAAUUGGCAAAUGAGUAGAGAUAUUCCUAUGCUUCUUGAAUCAAUUUUCGUAUGCCACUGCUAGAUUUCAGGUGUAAGCCUUGAGAUAUCAGCAGAAGCUGGAAGAACUGGUGCUGACAAAAGAAUUGAAGACAAAGCAAGUGCUUCAGAGAAUGCCUUUAAUGAAGAAGAACUUUCCUCUGUUGAAUUAGAAACAGGGGUUUGGUUUAAAGAACACACAAUGGCUGAAGUUCUUUGUUUUGUGAUAAAUUAAGACCCAAAUUUAGAUGUUGAAAUUUACAUGGCAGUGUUUUUCAUGUUUGUGCCUUGUACUUAUUUGGAUCAUUUUACAAGUUUCUGACUUUGGGCUUAUUGCAUUGCCUCAAAAAAUAAGCAGCAUCUGAUGUUAGAUGGAUUAGAUGGUAUAUAUAUUUUUGUUUCUUUCUUUGUUAAAUAGAACUUCUAUAUGGUUAGUUA